GUCGCUUUAGCUCACUUGGGAGAGCGCCAGACUGAAGUCCACUCAGUCACGAAAAUUGAUACAUCUGGAGGUACUGUGUUCGAUCCACAGAAGCGACA